rnacentral:rRNA from 1 species
GACGAACGCUGGCGGCGUGCUUAACACAUGCAAGUCGAACGGAAAGGCCCUGCUUGCAGGGUACUCGAGUGGCGAACGGGUGAGUAACACGUGGGUGAUCUGCCCUGCACUUCGGGAUAAGCUUGGGAAACUGGGUCUAAUACCGGAUAGGAGCCAUCUUUAGUGUGGUGGUUGGAAAGUUUUUUCGGUGUAGGAUGAGCUCGCGGCCUAUCAGCUUGUUGGUGGGGUAAUGGCCUACCAAGGCGGCGACGGGUAGCCGGCCUGAGAGGGUGUACAGCCACAUUGGGACUGAGAUACGGCCCAGACUCCUACGGGAGGCAGCAGUGGGGAAUAUUGCACAAUGGGCGCAAGCCUGAUGCAGCGACGCCGCGUGGGGGAUGAAGGCCUUCGGGUUGUAAACUCCUUUCGCUAGGGACGAAGCUUUUUUGUGACGGUACCUAGAUAAGAAGCACCGGCUAACUACGUG